rnacentral:lncRNA from 1 species
GGGAAGGAAAUGAUCUAAGCAAGGUAAUAUUUUUAAGUAGUUGGUUUUUACGAUUCUUUUGAGCUCACUAAAAAAAGGCAAUAUGGGUUAGAUUUUUAGUUUUUAUUAACAUUAUUUUAUCGAUUUUGGGUUGGUAUUGGAUUGAUGGAAUAUGGAUGUUGUUUUGGACUUCGUUUGCGACUAAAUUGACAUUUGAGAUUAAGG